rnacentral:miRNA from 1 species
AGCGAACCUCUGCUCACUGCCC